GGCUUAACACAUGCAAGUCGAGCGGAAACGAUGGUAGCUUGCUACCAGGCGUCGAGCGGCGGACGGGUGAGUAAUACUUAGGAAUCUACCUAGUAGUGGGGGAUAGCACGGGGAAACUCGUAUUAAUACCGCAUACGACCUACGGGAGAAAGGGGGCAGUUUACUGCUCUCGCUAUUAGAUGAGCCUAAGUCGGAUUAGCUAGAUGGUGGGGUAAAGGCCUACCAUGGCGACGAUCUGUAGCUGGUCUGAGAGGAUGAUCAGCCACACCGGGACUGAGACACGGCCCGGACUCCUACGGGAGGCAGCAGUGGGGAAUAUUGGACAAUGGGGGAAACCCUGAUCCAGCCAUGCCGCGUGUGUGAAGAAGGCCUUUUGGUUGUAAAGCACUUUAAGCAGUGAAGAAGACUCUUCGGUUAAUACCCGGAGACGAUGACAUUAGCUGCAGAAUAAGCACCGGCUAACUCUGUGCCAGCAGCCGCGGUAAUACAGAGGGUGCAAGCGUUAAUCGGAAUUACUGGGCGUAAAGCGAGCGUAGGUGGCUUGAUAAGUCAGAUGUGAAAUCCCCGGGCUUAACCUGGGAACUGCAUCUGAAACUGUUAGGCUAGAGUAGGUGAGAGGGAAGUAGAAUUUCAGGUGUAGCGGUGAAAUGCGUAGAGAUCUGAAGGAAUACCGAUGGCGAAGGCAGCUUCCUGGCAUCAUACUGACACUGAGGCUCGAAAGCGUGGGUAGCAAACAGGAUUAGAUACCCUGGUAGUCCACGCCGUAAACGAUGUCUACUAGUCGUUGGGUCCCUUGAGGACUUAGUGACGCAGCUAACGCAAUAAGUAGACCG
rnacentral:rRNA from 1 species